rnacentral:rRNA from 1 species
GAUAAACGCUAGCGGCAGGCCUAACACAUGCAAGUCGAACGGUAACAGGGGUAGCAAUAUCUGCUGACGAGUGGCGCACGGGUGAGUAACACGUUUGCAACUAACCUUUGACUGGGGGAUAGCCCGGAGAAAUUCGGAUUAAUACCCCAUAAUAUUUAUAGGAGGCAUCUUUUAUAAAUUAAAGCUUCGGUGGUCAAAGACGGGCAUGCGUACCAUUAGCUUGUUGGUGAGGUAACGGCUCACCAAGGCAACGAUGGUUAGGGGGUCUGAGAGGAUGGUCCCCCACACUGGUACUGAGACACGGACCAGACUCCUACGGGAGGCAGCAGUGAGGAAUAUUGGGCAAUGGACGCAAGUCUGACCCAGCCAUGCCGCGUGCAGGAUGAAUGCCCUAUGGGUUGUAAACUGCUUUUGUACAGAAAGAAAUCACCGGACGUGUCCGGUGUUGACGGUACUGUAUGAAUAAGCAUCGGCUAACUCCGUGCCAGCAGCCGCGGUAAUACGGAGGAUGCAAGCGUUAUCCGGAUUUAUUGGGUUUAAAGGGUGUGUAGGCGGGAAAUUAAGUCAGUGAUGAAAUCCUACAGCUUAACUGUAGAACUGUUAUUGAUACUGGUUUUCUUGAAUACAGUUGAGGCAGGCGGAAUGUGUAAUGUAGCGGUGAAAUGCUUAGAUAUUACACAGAACACCGAUUGCGAAGGCAGCUUGCUAAACUGUCAUUGACGCUGAGGCACGAAAGCGUGGGGAUCAAACAGGAUUAGAUACCCUGGUAGUCCACGCUGUAAACUAUGAUCACUCGCUGUUGGCGACACACAGUCAGCGGCCGAGCGAAAGCAUUAAGUGAUCCACCUGGGGAGUACGAUCGCAAGAUUGAAACUCAAAGGAAUUGACGGGGGCCCGCACAAGCGGAGGAACAUGUGGUUUAAUUCGAUGAUACGCGAGGAACCUUACCUGGGCUUGAAUGCAGGUUGACAGACUGGGAAACUGGUUCUUCUUCGGACAACUUGCAAGGUGCUGCAUGGUUGUCGUCAGCUCGUGCCGUGAGGUGUAGGGUUAAGUCCCAUAACGAGCGCAACCCUUAUUGUUAGUUGCCAGCGGGUAAUGCCGGGGACUCUAGCGAAACUGCCGGUGUAAACCGUGAGGAAGGAGGGGAUGACGUCAAAUCAGCACGGCCCUUAUGUCCAGGGCGACACACGUGUUACAAUGGCCGGUACAAAGGGCAGCUACCUGGUGACAGGAUGCUAAUCUCCAAAACCGGUCUCAGUUCGGAUCGAAGUCUGCAACUCGACUUCGUGAAGCCGGAUUCGCUAGUAAUCGCGCAUCAGCCACGGCGCGGUGAAUACGUUCCCGGGCCUUGUACACACCGCCCGUCAAGCCAUGGAAGCCGGGGGGACCUAAAAUCCGUAACCGCAAGGAGCGGCUUAGGGUAAAACCGGUGACUGGGGCU